GGCUGAACAGACUGCCAGAGGAACCGUGAGACCACUCUUUGAGAGUGAUUCAUUCACAGCGCCAGUCAUUGGGAUUAACCCAAUAUCGAUUCCCGGCAUAUCUAGCUUACCUCGAAGUGACGGACUUGCAGGACCAGCCGCUUGGGCCGAUACCCUUAUGACUCUUGGCAUUCCCGUCGCAUCUGAUGACGGUGGGAUUACCGG